CCACAUUGGGACUGAGAUACGGCCCAGACUCCUACGGGAGGCAGCAGUGGGGAAUAUUGCACAAUGGGCGCAAGCCUGAUGCAGCGACGCCGCGUGCGGGAUGACGGCCUUCGGGUUGUAAACCGCUUUUGAUCGGGAGCAAGCCUUCGGGUGAGUGUACCUUUCGAAUAAGCACCGGCUAACUACGUGCCAGCAGCCGCGGUAAUACGUAGGGUGCAAGCGUUAUCCGGAAUUAUUGGGCGUAAAGGGCUCGUAGGCGGUUCGUCGCGUCCGGUGUGAAAGUCCAUCGCUUAACGGUGGAUCUGCGCCGGGUACGGGCGGGCUGGAGUGCGGUAGGGGAGACUGGAAUUCCCGGUGUAACGGUGGAAUGUGUAGAUAUCGGGAAGAACACCAAUGGCGAAGGCAGGUCUCUGGGCCGUUACUGACGCUGAGGAGCGAAAGCGUGGGGAGCGAACAGGAUUAGAUACCCUGGUAGUCCACGCCGUAAACGGUGGAUGCUGGAUGUGGGGCCCGUUCCACGGGUUCCGUGUCGGAGCUAACGCGUUAAGCAUCCCGCCUGGGGAGUACGGCCGCAAGGCUAAAACUCAAAGAAAUUGACGGGGGCCCGCACAAGCGGCGGAGCAUGCGGAUUAAUUCGAUGCAACGCGAAGAACCUUACCUGGGCUUGACAUGUUCCCGACAGCCGUAGAGAUAUGGCCUCCCUUCGGGGCGGGUUCACAGGUGGUGCAUGGUCGUCGUCAGCUCGUGUCGUGAGAUGUUGGGUUAAGUCCCGCAACGAGCGCAACCCUCGCCCUGUGUUGCCAGCACGUCAUGGUGGGAACUCACGGGGGACCGCCGGGGUCAACUCGGAGGAAGGUGGGGAUGACGUCAGAUCAUCAUGCCCCUUACGUCCAGGGCUUCACGCAUGCUACAAUGGCCGGUACAACGGGAUGCGACACGGCGACGUGGAGCGGAUCCCUGAAAACCGGUCUCAGUUCGGAUUGGAGUCUGCAACCCGACUCCAUGAAGGCGGAGUCGCUAGUAAUCGCGGAUCAGCAACGCCGCGGUGAAUGCGUUCCCGGGCCUUGUACACACCGCCCGUCAAGUCAUGAAAGUGGGUAGCACCCGAAGCCGGUGGCCUAACCCUUUGUGGAUGGAGCCGUCUAAGGUGAGACUCGUGAUUGGGACUAAGUCGUAACAAGGUAGCCGUACCGGAAGGUGCGGCUG
rnacentral:rRNA from 1 species